AUUUAAGACCACAUCAUGCGUGAGUACAAGCUAGUGGUCCUUGGUUCAGGAGGCGUGGGAAAGUCUGCUCUGACAGUUCAGUUUGUUCAAGGAAUUUUUGUUGAAAAACACGACCCAACGAUAGAAGAUUCCUACAGAAAGCAAGUUGAAGUAGAUUGCCAACAGUGUAUGCUGGAAAUCCUGGAUACAGCAGGGACAGAACAAUUUACAGCUAUGAGGGAUUUGUAUAUGAAGAAUGGCCAAGGGUUUGCAUUAUUAUAUUCUAUUACAGCUCAGUCCACAUUUAAUGAUUUACAGGAUUUAAGGGAACAGAUUUUACAGGUUAAGGACACAGGAGAUGUUCCAAUGAUUUUGGUUGGCAAUAAAUAUGACCUGGAAGAUGAGCGAGUAGUUGGCAAAGAACAGGGCCAGAAUUUAGCAAGACAGUGGUGUAACUGUGCCUUUUUAGAAUCUUCUGCAAAGUCAAAGAUCAAUGUUAAUGAGAUAUUUUAUGACCUGGUCAGACAAAUAAAUAGAAAAACACCAGUCAUGCUGGAGGGACCAUGUAUCAACUUCUGGGAAGGCUGCAUACUGCACAGUCCAGCUGAAGGGGCAUUUACGGAGCCCUGGGCAUCAUCAGGUGUUGGUUCUAGGAAUUUCGCGUGCUCAACGCUAGAGUCAACAAAGGACAUGCCCAUGGCUGUGGAAGACAAAGAAUAUUGA